rnacentral:lncRNA from 1 species
GCAGGUUUGUCUUCAUACAGCUUCCAGUGCUGGUGUGAAAUUGUGCCGCUUUGUGCACUCACAGCUGAGCAGAGGCAGAGCCUGCGGAAACGAGCAGACGUCAGUCAGCCCAGUGCGCUGUUAGCCACGAAAGUCCUCAGCACAAUGAUGUGGUGAGGCCGUGAUCUCGGAGAGACAGAAAAUGAGAUGGAUGCUUCAGAUGGAUCAGGAGGAAAUGCUGAAUCGUAAAGGUUUGUGUGGCCACCUGCCUCGGAGCAGAAGGAAGGCUGCCCUCCUCCUACAUCUGACCACUGACAUUAGGCUUGCGGGGCUGCAUGACCCAGCAGAGAGACCUCAUCCGCCAGCAGGGAAGUAACAUGCCCUCUUGGUCAGAUGCUGUUGCUCUCUGGACUUCUGCCUUUCUAGGUGGGACAGUGUGGCCUCUUUAACCCCAUCACUGGAUCAGUGCUCCCAAAUUAGUGUAAUCAUCCCACUCAAAUUAAGUGAGCAGCUCCUGGCUCUGCAGCCCAGCUCUGGGCAUCCCCUCUCAGCCUGGCACCUGCAUCCCCC